rnacentral:lncRNA from 1 species
AAAAAGGUUUUGAAUAUCUGGGUGAGAAAGAACAGCUUCUCAAGUAAAAUGCUGACUGAGGAGACUGUCCGUUCACAUUUCCAAACUUUGCAGAAGUGAAACGUCCUCUCAAAUGCUCACUUUGAAAAGGGGGACAGUACCCAGACGAGACUCUCCCCAGAUACAAUAAGUGCAAGAUGCUAUCGUGCUGAAAUUAACCUACUGGCUAGGGUGUUUCCACCAACUGGGAUUAAAGUCACAGGCAAUGGAUUCUUGAUAUUGACCAACUGGCAUCUUGGUGAGGACGUAAUCUCUGCAACAGACUUUUGCCAAGUAUUGAUUCUAGGCAUUGCAAUCAAUCCAUCCAGCCGGCAUAGAGCAAAAUAAGCAGAGAACGUGAUUUUGGGGCCUUUAAUUUCUCUGCAUUUUAACCCAUAAAAACAAGGGAUCCUGGGAGGACACCAGGUUGGAAGGUAGCCUGGUGAAGAUGUCCUGGCAGACAGCAGAGCUCCUCUCCUAUGGUUGUUAGCCCACCUCCUGCUGGUACAGGCUGGAUGAUCAAACACUUGGCCUAAAAGAACAAGAAUCAAGGGAAGCAGGGCAGGAUGGUACAGGCCUGAAUCUUAGGUAUUUAUUUGGGAGGCUGGGGCAGGAAGAUUGCAAGUUUGAGGCCAGCCUGGGCAACUUAGGGAAGACUCUGCCUCAAAAUUAAAUAAAGGGCUAGGAAUAUAGUUCACUGGCCAAGCACUUGCCUAGCA